rnacentral:lncRNA from 7 species
GCUACUAGUACCUAUUAUAUUAUGAAAAAAAAAACUCAGCUAGUAAAAAGACUGUUCCAUGGUAUUAUAUUAAAAAAACUUAAUCGACAUCCGGAUUGAGAAAGAUCGUAAAAGAUGUCUCCAUAGUACGAGGGUCCGCUUCCUAUAAACCCUAAAUCAGGAAUCUGACCGAAUCUCAGUGACAAAAAGAAAAACAUCUCAGUGACACCUGGGUGAAGCACGUCUAGGCAGCUGGGGUCGUUCGUGCAACAACUUGACCAAGAAUCUGACGGAACCUGUGCUUGUGGUGUGCUUUCCUCCGGCCAUGCUCCUUUCUCCGGAAUCCUAAUCUCUGCCCAGCUGUUGUUCGAUCCGGAAAGCAGAAGAUGCCGAUCUCGACUCGAUGGGACGGCGAAAUCAGUGUUGUCUCCCCCGUCAGGUCGUCCCGGGCCGCC